AGUCAAUAGAUACCCCGGUAGUCCACGCCGUAAACGAUGAGUACUAGGUGUAGGAGGGUAUCGACUCCUUCUGUGCCGCAGUUAAACACAAUAAGUACUCCGCCUGGGAAGUACGGUCGCAAGAUUAAAACUCAAAGGAAUUGACGGGGGCCCGGCACAAGCAGCGGAGCAUGUGGUUUAAUUUACGAAGCAACGACGAAGAACCUUACCUAGACUUGUACAUCUCCUGAAUAGUGUAGAGAUACAUGAAGCCCUUCGGGGUCGAGGAAGACAGGUGGUGCAUGGUUGGUCGUCAGCUCGUGUCG
rnacentral:rRNA from 1 species